UGGGGAAUUUUGGACAAUGGGCGAAAGCCUGAUCCAGCAAUGCCGCGUGUGUGAAGAAGGCCUUCGGGUUGUAAAGCACUUUUGUCCGGAAAGAAAUCCUUGGCUCUAAUACAGUCGGGGGAUGACGGUACCGGAAGAAUAAGCACCGGCUAACUACGUGCCAGCAGCCGCGGUAAUACGUAGGGUGCAAGCGUUAAUCGGAAUUACUGGGCGUAAAGCGUGCGCAGGCGGUUUGCUAAGACCGAUGUGAAAUCCCCGGGCUCAACCUGGGAACUGCAUUGGUGACUGGCAGGCUAGAGUAUGGCAGAGGGGGGUAGAAUUCCACGUGUAGCAGUGAAAUGCGUAGAGAUGUGGAGGAAUACCGAUGGUGAAGGCAGCCCCCUGGGCCAAUACUGACGCUCAUGCACGAAAACGUGGGGAGCAAACAGGAUUAGAUACCCUGGUAGUCCACGCCCUAAACGAUGUCAACUAGUUGUUGGGGAUUCAUUUCCUUAGUAACGUAGCUAACGCGUGAAGUUGACCGCCUGGGGAGUACGGUCGCAAGAUUAAAACUCAAAUGAAUUGACGGGGUCAUAGCUGUUUCC
rnacentral:rRNA from 1 species